CGCAAAUUGUAAAGUGAUUUUGACUGAAGGGUGAAUUAUAUCAGUCAUGAACAUCUCCAAUAAUUUCUCGUUAUUUUAUAAUAAGACACAAAACAACCACCUAUAUGAACUGUCAAUCAGUAACGUAAGGACAGUUCCCAUUUCCUCCAGCCAAUCAAGGGCCCCCAUCUUCCGUGGGCCCUGGGGCUUCAGCCCUGCCUAGCACUUAUGUUAAUCCGGCCCUGGAUAAGGGAGUAUUGGUGAAAGUUAACUCUGUAGCUGAUUGCCCUGUAUUUCGUACCCAGCUGCCUACCAUUAUCAAGUGGGGACCUUUUUCAAGGCCAUGCUCAGCCCUGGUGGAUUCUGGGGCUGAGGGUAAUUUAAUUGAUGCUACCCUGGUGUCUCCUACCACCCCUCUCAAGAAGAAACUCAUUGCCAGGGCUCUCAACGGCACCAUCCUCACCCAAGUUACUCAGGUCAUUUCCCCUGUAAGUUUUAACUGUUUCUGGCAACCAUUGUGAGGAGAUUGUGUUUUACCUCCUCGAGUCUCCCAGCACACCUACUGUGCUGGGGAACCUGUGGCUGGUGAGACACAGUCCUCACAUUGUUUGGGUUGAGAAUUCUGUAUUGGCAUGGAGCUCAUUUUGUCAUAAAUUUUGCCUGGGUGUUGCCUUUUCUGCUGGUUUUUCUUGUUCUAUGUUUCAGGAUGGGCAGACUGCGGUCUUUGCCAUUGACCUUCUCCCAGAGAAGAAAGACGGUUCCUUGCACCCCUGCAUCGGUUAUCAUGGGCUAAAUGACAUUACGGUAAAAUAAUUGGUACCCCCUGCCAUUGAUGUCCUUGGCUCCCGAGCUGCAGCAGGGAGCGCAGACCUUCACAAAGUUGGACCUCUGCAAUGCCUACCACUUGGUUCGGAUAAGGGAAAGGGAUGAGUGGAAGACAGCUUUUAACACCCCUACUGGCCACUUUAAAUAUCGGGUGAUGCCUUUUGGGCUUUCUACUGCCCCAGCUGUCUUCCAGGCCCUGAUAUGUCCCUUUUCAAAGUUCUAUUGGUUAUCAGACUACUCUGUUUGCUUCACAGGAACCUGAUGCAGCGGUCCCCUCUGCCCAGGCCUUUGUCCAGAGGUGCAAAUCCACAUGGGAAAGAGCCAGGAAGGUGCUCAUUCAGGCGGGGAGACAUGCCAAGGUGGCAGCAGAUCGUUGUCAGACUCCUGCACCCAAGUAUUUUUGUGGGCAGAGGGUAUGGCUUUCUACUCUGGACCUGCCCCUUAAGGUGCCAUCACGCAAGCUGGCACCCAGGUUCUUAGAGCCAUACCACAUUACUAAAAUCCGGCGGCAGUGUGGCUCAGGCUCCCAUCUGUCUUUGUUCGUGUCCACCCUGUCUUUCACGUGUCUUGUGUCAAGCCUGUCAUUUCUUCCUCUUUGAAUCCUGGUGUGUCUGCUCUUGUCUCUGUUGACUGUGAUCCUGUUUCUGUUGUUGUCUAGCCUAGUCUUGCAUAGUUUCCUCUGCAUUUAUUUUAUACUUUUUGAUAUUAGGGUUUUUUUUACUUUUUGAUUUAUUUCUGUGCUAUCUAGUUCCUUGUUUUUUGAGCUCCUUCCUUUUAGUUUAGUUUAGGUUUUGUUUUUCACCUUCCCCCUUUUGCUCCACAGCUCCCCCAUUGGCUCUGGCAGCUGGACUCCUUACUGCCUGCCACCUCCCUCCCAUCCCUCACUGCCCAGCUCUACUUGCUUCCCUGCCCUUCCUGUUCCAUCCAUCCAGCUGCUCUGCUAAUAUCAGUCUUAUCCAACAGUGUCAGUAGAUUCCAGACAUUGAUAUCAUUGCACCUGAAGUAUCGAUAGGAAUUCUCACUGUGGUGCCAGAGGACAGCCCGAUGUCUCCACAAGGUUUGCCUUUGGAGGUCACUGAUACAGCAAUAAUUUUGGAGGGCGUUAUAGCAAUGGAUGGACUUGAGAAUGUUCCACAUUUCAUUUGUUUUGUUUUUGGGCUGAUCCAAAUAUGGAGUACCCUUCACAGCUUAAGAAUUUGUUCAAUACGUUUUUAAUAGCAGAAACAAGCCUGUCUUGGGUCUAUUGUUGCAUUUUGGGUGUUGUAUCCAGAUUGAUGGGUGACUGAUUAAAAAUCGAAAUACCCGCAACUUAAAAACCGUGAUGUUUUAAUCCGUUUUUGGUUUAUGCUUCUUGAUGGCAGAAAAAGACCAUGUUAUUGUAGGUCUGUUGUUGCACUUUGGGUGUUUUAUCCAGGUUGAUGGGUAACAAAUCCCUAUACCCAC
ensembl:lncRNA